rnacentral:rRNA from 1 species
GAUCAGGGCUCAGGAUGAACGCUAGCGGCAGGCUUAACACAUGCAAGUCGAGGGGCAGCAUAAUGGAUAGCAAUAUCUAUGGUGGCGACCGGCGCACGGGUGCGUAACGCGUAUGCAACCUACCUUUAACAGGGGGAUAACACUGAGAAAUUGGUACUAAUACCCCAUAAUAUCAUAGAAGGCAUCUUUUGUGGUUGAAAAUUCCGAUGGUUAGAGAUGGGCAUGCGUUGUAUUAG